rnacentral:rRNA from 1 species
UACGUAGGGGGCCAGCGUUGUCCGGAAUCAUUGGGCGUAAAGCGCGCGUAGGCGGCCCUGUAAGUCCGCUGUGAAAGUCAAAGGCUCAACCUUUGAAAGCCGGUGGAUACUGCAGGGCUAGAGUCCGGAAGAGGCGAGUGGAAUUCCUGGUGUAGCGGUGGAAUGCGCAGAUAUCAGGAGGAACACCAAUAGCGAAGGCAGCUCGCUGGGACGGUACUGACGCUAAGGCGCGAAAGCGUGGGGAGCGAACAGG